rnacentral:sRNA from 1 species
UCGCCUUAGCUUUAUUCUCCGUCGUGCUCUUCUU